rnacentral:rRNA from 1 species
AUGAACGCUGGCGGCGUGCCUAAUACAUGCAAGUCGAGCGAACAGACGAGGAGCUUGCUCCUCUGACGUUAGCGGCGGACGGGUGAGUAACACGUGGAUAACCUACCUAUAAGACUGGGAUAACUUCGGGAAACCGGAGCUAAUACCGGAUAAUAUAUUGAACCGCAUGGUUCAAUAGUGAAAGACGGUUUUGCUGUCACUUAUAGAUGGAUCCGCGCCGCAUUAGCUAGUUGGUAAGGUAACGGCUUACCAAGGCAACGAUGCGUAGCCGACCUGAGAGGGUGAUCGGCCACACUGGAACUGAGACACGGUCCAGACUCCUACGGGAGGCAGCAGUAGGGAAUCUUCCGCAAUGGGCGAAAGCUUGACGGAGCAACGCCGCGUGAGUGAUGAAGGUCUUCGGAUCUAAAAACUCGGUUAUUAGGGAAGAACAAAUGUGUAAGUAACUAUGCACGUCUUGACGGUACCUAAUCAGAAAGCCACGGCUAACUACGUG